UUACAUAUCCAACCUCGUACUAGAUUCUUAUUACGGAGUCGUCUUGCUAUUAAGCGGUUCCAGGGCCAUCUUGACUGUCUUCUUCCUUAUUCAUAAGCUUCGUUGAGACCGAGCAACCUUCUGUAGACUUCCCGCCUUCUUUGGUUGAAGUCAGCUAACUUCGGCUUCUGGUCACGGAGUUUUUCCGAAGCCGAAACGCUGAGAGCUCCACGGGGGGUUUAACUUUGCGAGUCCUUGCCUGCAGAACAACAAAAUGGACACCUUCGUGAUAGUUAACUUCGGUCAUUUAUUAGCUUCGUAAAGGGGGAGGCGAUGAGGUUAGGGUCGGUUAAGAGAAAGAGAGUCCCCGCCAGCGCCGUUCAGGGUGUGUUGUGGGGGCGGUCCCCAAUAGUAGCCCCUUCGUGGGCGAGGUCCGAGGCACCGUCGACCGAUCCCACGAAAAGUCCAAAAAUGCCCUCAAAACGUCACCCUGAAGGGCAGCGCGGGCCGAGGCGUUUUACCGUUAUGCGAGGGUAGCAAGGUCAUUUCUUAUGUGGCGGUUAAAGGUUCGAGGCAGUUUUUACCGUGCCUAUAAAAGGUUUGCCAGGAGAGGCAGGCCAUAUUUACGCUGUCGCUUUCGAGCUGCAUUUUUCGCCACCUUUUGCCUUCGCUGCGCAGCUUCGUUGUGCUUUAUUGUCUUCAUUUUCCUGGUGGGGUGUUGACUUCGUUUUUGUGGCAGUUAGCACCAGACUGAGCUGCAGACAAUGUCUUCUGAGGAGUUGGCCCUUCAGGUUGCCCCUGGUGGUGGAGGUAGCCCUGCUUUGCAGUCGGUGUCUGCGAGCAGUGGGGAAUCUGAGGGGAAGAGGUCAAAGAAGCGAAUCUAUACGAAGGAUGGUUUGGUUUCUCCUGAUGAGGGAUCUUCGUGGAGCAGCUCGCCUGACUGGUCAUCUGAUGGGGGCGAAGGUGCAGAUGAAAUGGGUCAAACCUCGAAGGGUACAGGGGAAGCCAAGAUUCAUGCUGUAUCCUCGGACGAGGCAGAAGGUAAAGGUGUCGACGAGGUUGAGGGUGAGGAGGAGGAGGAUGCUGAGGUUGAAGUGAGGUCGGGGGCAUCCGUCGGUGGGAAGGUUCCGUGCGUUCCUACGCUUUAUUUUGGGUGCUCCCAGGUGACCUCGCAAGAUAUUACACUUUUUGAGGAGAGCAACUUUUUCCCUAAGGGGAUGGGCAGAGCCCCUGGGAGCGAGGCAGUUCCGACGCCCGAGGUCGGCGAAGCUGUUGUUUUUAGGGAUCUGUUUACUCCGGGGCUUCGGUUUCCCUGCGAUAGGCAGCUACUGGUUAUACUGGAUCGCUAUCGUGUUAGGCUGCACCAGCUGGCCCCCAACGCCAUCGUGAACUUGUCUAAGUUCUAUUGGGUGCAACGCACGUUUGGCGGGAGCGUUGACGUGGAGGGUUUCACGAGGUUACAUGAGCUUCAUAUUUAGAAGAAAAGGACUUAUUCUGAUGAUGGCAAGGGGGUUUGCGAAAACCAUUUUGGUUGCUGUACCUUCGUGCCGCGCCGAAAGAACGAUAAGAGGAAUCUGCCGAGGGUAGAACUUACCUUCGCGCAGAGGAACAAGUGGGAUGACGCGUGGCUGACGCACUGGUUUUAUGUGAGAGUCGAGAUGGCCGACCUUGGUAGUGGAUUUCCAUUCUAUGCGCAGUUUGGGCCGAUGGACGUGCUGACGACUCCUUCGUUUAUCCAGACAGCCAUAGUGACAAAGUGCGAAGCUGCCUAUAGGGUUGCUGGGCCCUUGAUAUCUGGGCGAGAUCUUGUGGAGGAGUUCGUCGCUGCUCGAGUGUGGCCCUUGUCUACCAAUUUUGCGAAGCCACUUAAGCUCGCCGAGAAGAAAGUUUCUAGGAGCGAGAACGCUGUGCCGUUCCCUUAUUUUGAGCUUGACAAGGAUGAGGUUGGCAACUUAGACCUGUUUGUACAGUCAGUGGAGGACAUGGCUUACGAGAUUUUGGGUCCGGUGACCCAGCCCGAGAGGCGCUCUUUCGAAACUGUUGUGAGCCAUGGACAGCGUGUCAACCGGGUUUUUGAUUUGCUUGACAACAUAGUGCCACCUCGUCCCGAAGUUAUGGGCAAGAGGCGCCAUCGGGGUGCUGGUGUUGAGCAGAGGAAGAAGGUGAAAUUUGAUUCUGCUCGCACGACGAAGCUUGCUGUUGAGUCACAAACAGCCGCGAAGGCAAAACAAAAAACCCUCAACUUGGAAGCGCAGAAGACGAAAGAUGCUACUGCAGGAGCUUCAUCUGUCGUGCUGCCAUCUAGGUCGAUGGCUUCAUCUGUUGACUUGAGCAGGUCAGCAUAUGUUGUGCCUGUUUCCGUGCGUCCUCCUUCUGAUGCGCCUUCAUCCGCCGGCCCUGAUGCUCGGACUAAAAAAGGGGCUAACAAGCCUCGUUUCGCACGCGUUAUCGUACCGGGUGCUAAGGCCGAUGCGCCUUCGGGGGUCAGUAGCAAGAUUGUACCUUCUUCCACAAGCUCAAAGGCUCUUUUGGUUGAAACCGGGAAGCGUGAGGAGAGGGUAGCUGCCGAAAAGGCAAAGCUUGUGGACGCGUUCUCUUCUGAUCCUAAGGGUGCUAGUGCCGAGGCUAUUAGAUCUGGUAAGCAUGUAGAGGUGGUUUUGCCGAAGCUUCGGUUCUUUGAUUGCGGGCGGGCUUUGGCGUCAUUUUUGAAGGAUUUGGAGGCAACUAAGGGGGAGGUUGGCGAGGUUAGUUGUGAGGAUCAUGUAAGGCUGAAAGUUAAAUGUUAUGAUAUAGGUGAGAGAUUGCCGGCUGAUCUGCAAUGGCUUAAUGAAGGUCUGGGCUUGAGCGGGCGCACGGAGGUUCUAGCGACGUGCGCUGAAGGUAGGGUUUAUAAUCCACAUAACCUAAUUUUGGACUGGGGGAAGGAGGGUGAGGAUUGCAAGCGCUGUGCAAAUGCCGGAGGUUCGAAGAAGAUGGAGAAAGCGGGUGCGGUGGCUUCGGGUAGGGGGAAAGAAAUUGUUCCAGUCGCCAUCGAGGCGCGGGGGUACGAAGGUAAUGGCUACUUGUGAGUGAUUGUUGUUUGUAGACUUCAUUGUUGUCGUGGUGUACUUAUGAUUGUAUGCUUGAUUCACAGAUUUUCAGCAAUCUGUGAAGUCGAUGAGCUCGGAGGAGCUUUUCAACUUGGAGGCUAACCUCGUGAAGAAGGUAUGGCUACUAGUCGAUUUGAUGAUACUUGUGAAGUUUACUAGCUUUGUUGCGUCUGCUGCGACUUGGUCUGAUGUUUUUGUUUGGAUUUUGCAGAUGUCUUACUCGUCUAUGAUUACAAGGGAUCGGCUUGUCAAUAGCGAGAAGUCAGCUGCAGAGCUUGCGAAGAAAGUGGCUUCACUUGAAGCGACUAUUGCGGCUAUGUCCCUGGAGAUGAAGAAGGUCAAGGUCGAGAAUGCGGAGUUGAAAGAGGACUCUCGCAGACUUGGCGAAAAUUACGAAGCCAGGGGCGACGAGCUCGAUCGCGUGUCAUCAGAAUUGGUGGAUCUUGAAAAGUUAGUUAAAGAGAAAGACAAAAUUAUCCAAGACUUGCGCGAAGGUGCCCAGCAGGACAGUGAGGUUAUCUCGGGUUUAAAAGCUAAGGUUGGACAGAUGGAGCCUGAGCUAGAAACAAGGGCAAAGCUGUUGAGCCAAAUAGAAACUACACUGAGGGAGAGGUUCGAAAAGGUUCAUGAAGCUUACAAGGCCUCCCUUGGUGUGUUUGGCUCCGAACCCGAAGAUUGCCCAUUGGACGAGGGAUGUGAGCGCAUGUUUGAAUGGUUGUUAGACGAGGUCAAAAGUCUCCCCGAGGUUCUUGAGGGCCUGAACGACUACUCCGCCGUGUUCUGCCUGGAAAGCGCCCUUCACCUGCUGGAGCAACAAGGAUGCGAGCAUAUUUAAAACAUUUCCGAGGAUAGUUAUGUUGCGCCGGCUGCCCAAGAUAUUGGAUGCGCCACGAAGUCUUUCGUUAUGGAAAAUGUGAAGAAGAAUUUAUUCGAGCGUAUGUGGUCGUCCUCUGGGCAGGAAUACGUGAAGAGGCUGGCUUGCGAGCAAUUAGCUCAGCUUCGUUCGCAGCCUAGCGCUACUAGCGAAGAGGGGCAUGCUGCGGAGUAGAUCUUUUUAUUUAUGGACCUAUUUUUUGUCUUUUGUUUUUAUAUAAAGAUGAUGAGGUCAAAUACUUUUAAUUGUGUAUGAAGUUACGCCUUAUGAAAUAUUCGUGUGCCUGUGUAUCUUGCUUAAAUUGCUGUAGUUUAGCUGCGCUUAUUCGUGGGCCAACUGCCAGUUUAGAUAAGUCGAAGCUGGGUUGCCAUGCGGGCCAACCCGCUGACUUAGUUGUUGCGAGAGCUGGUUGAUACAGCGACUUGCAGUUGCUUCAACCAUAACUGUAUGCGUCGCUGGGUGUGGUGACUUCGUGUGAGGUUGGUGUGGCGACUUGUUUUUGGAAGUGGAUGUACUUGGAGGUAUUUUCGAAAAACGUCACCCCCCUUUUACGACAUUGCGAGAGAGAGGUUAGAUAACUUGUGCUUGCGGACUCUCCUCUUGCGAGGUCACAGAAACUUUCCGCGUUCUUUCGAAAAAACGUUGUUGGAGCUCUGUCGAGGCUGUAUGCGAGAAGCUUGUUUUGUGCAUGUUGGAACGCGAUUUUGUACAGCUUGUUGCUUGCUUCCCAAAUGAAAAACUCCUCCGUGGACUGGCGCGAGGUCACGCAACUUGUUGUUGCUUUUUGAAACGAGAGACUCCUUCGCGCACUGGCGCGAGGUCACGCAACUUGUUGUUGCUUCUCAAGCGAAAAAGUCCUCCGCGCACUAGCGCGAGGUUACGCAACUUGUUGUUGCUUCUCAAGUGAAAAACAUUCUUAGGGGAAAUCUUUUUCCUUUCUUUGUAGGAAAAGGUGUACAUGGAUCUGCCUCGUUAAAAACCUUGCCUCCGUUAUGGAGCCCCUAGCAAAGAAAAGAGUGCAGACUAGACUCUAUGACCUUACAAACGGGGUAAGCUUAAAAGAAAGAAAAAAGGCAAAAUUACUUUGUUGCCUUCGGCACUGCUUAUAGUUUCACAGGCCGAAGGUAACGUGUACAGUUAUGGGUAGUAUUUUCGUAAACUGUCAAUGUUCCAGGUGUGUGGGAGAGCGUUUCCUUGUUGGUCUGUGAGAUGGGAGGAGCCGGGUCUGCCAGCCUUUGUGACAAUGUAGGGGCCUUCCCAGGCCUCUUACAGUUUGCCUGGGUUUUCCCAAUUCUUCUUCCAUUUGAUGACGAGGUCACCGACAUUGAUCUGUCUUUCUCGAAUGCGUUGAUCCUUCCAUUUUUGGGUUUCUUCCUGGUAUUUGUCCAGGUUCUCAAUGGCCUCAUUGAUGUCAAGCUCGAUCAUGUCUUUCUCUAUUCUGGCGAUUUCAUCGAUGUCACCGUGCUUGAGGACUCUUAGGCUUUUGUUUUUUAUUUCUUCAGGUGUUACAGCUUCGGCCCCGAAUAAGAGCUUGAAUGGGGUGAAGCCUGUUGCUCUGGAUUGUGUUGUGUUGUGGGACCAUAUGACUCUUGGGAGCUCGUCGAUCCAUUUGCCCUUUUUCUGAUCGAAGAGACAUUUCUUGACUGCUGUAAAUAUCGUGCUGUUGGCUCUUUCCACAGCUUCGUUUGACUGCGGGUGGUAUACGGACGAGAAUUUUAUCUUCGUGCCUAUGCUAGUGCAAAAGUUCGUGAAUGAGAUGCAAUCAAACUGCUUGCCAUUGUUGACGGUUAGCUCCCUUGGGACUCCGAAGCGACAGACAAUGUUUUGCUAGAAAAUUUUUUGCACCGAGGCUGACGUGAUGACGGCAAGUGGCUUGGCUUCGGCCCAAUUAGUGAAGUAGUCUAUUGCCACUACUGCGAACCUGCAGUUUCCUUGUGCUGCUGGAAGUGGGCCAACUAGGUCCAUCCCCUAUCUUUGGAGAGGCCACGAGGGUGGUAUGAGCUGGAUGGGGAGUGAGGGUGCAUGUGUUUGCCUUGCUGUUUUUUGGCAUGCUUCGCAGCUUCGUACAAGUAGGUGUGCGUCCGUGUGGACUGAUGGCCAGCAGAACCCUUGUCGGAUUGCUUUUCUUGCCAGGGCUCUUGAGCCAAUGUGAGCUCCACAGAAACCGCCGUGUAUUUCUUUGAGCAGUUCACUGCCUGUUUCGUAGUCGACGCACUGAAGCCACAGUGUUGAGAUGCCUGUUUUGUAUAGUUGCCCCUCAAUGAUUGCAGAGCCCCUUGCUCUUUGCUUUAGGCGUGUGCGUUCAGCUUCGUUCUGGGGUUCAAAGUGGCCUCUGAGGAAAGCCAUUAUGCUUGUGCGCCAAUCGUAACGCUGGAUGGCGUUGAUGGUGGCUGGGUCUUCUUGUUUGAUUGAAGGCGAAGUUAUGACUUCGUAAAAUGUAUCUGAUGGAAUUGGCUCGCCUUCCGCUGCUGCCUUUGCGAGCUUGUCAGCUUCGUCAUUUUGUGCUCUCGGUAUGUUUCUGACAUCAAACCCCUUGAAAUGUUUCUCCAUGGCUCGGACUACCUUGAGGUAUUUGAUAAGUUCUGGUUCUUUGGCUUCGCUGUCUUUCUCAAUAUGAUCACGGAUUACCUUCGAGUCCGUUCUGAUGACGAAUGUUUGCUGCCCUAUGGCUUUCAUUUUUCUUAAGGCCAGGAGCAGUCCUUCAUACUCUGUGGUGUUGUUGGUUGACUUCGCAGUUGGUGGGAAGUCUAGCCUCGUUGCGUACUUGAUUCUGACGCCUGUUGGCGAGGUGACCACCGCUGCGACACCUGCUCCUUUACGGCACCAUGCUCCGUCACAGUGGACGACCCAUGGUGUUUCUAGGUGCUUUGGUUCUUGCUUAGGCGAGGUCCAAUCAACGACGAAGUCAAACAGCACUUGGGAUUUUAUAGCCGUGCGCCUUUCAAAAUCGACGACAAACUCCGAGAGCUCAGACGCCCAUUUGGCGAUGCGGCUAGAAGCUUCUCUGUUUGAGAAGAGAUCAUGGAGAGGUUGGCUGGUUACCACGACUAUUUUGUGCCCCUCAAAGUAAUGUCGUAGCUUCCGUGCUGCCAUGACAACCGCAUAUGCGAUUUUUUCUAAUUCAGAGUAAUGCAUCUUUGAGCCGCUCAAUGCCUCGGAUGCGAAGUAAACUGGUAUCUGUUUGAUUUUGCCUUCGAUUUCUUUCUCUUGGAUCAAUACAGCACUGACAGCUGUUGUUGAUGCUGAUACGUAAAGCAGCAGCGGUGACUUGGGCUCUGGUGGGCAUAGCUUCGUAAUGGAAUGCAGGUAUUCCUUAAGGUCCUGGAAUGCUCUGCUUUGCUCGUGUCCCCAUUCAAAUGUUUUGGAGCUUCGGAGUGUUUUGAAGAAAGGAAGGCUUCGCUCUGCUGCUUUCGGAAUGAAAUGGUUUAGUGCUGCGAUCCUACCAGUGAGCCGUUGUACCUACUUGAGUGAUGUUGGCUCUGACAUGUUGGCUAGCGCCGUGAUUUUGUCUGGGUUGGCCUCAAUGCCCUUCGUGGUUACCAAGCAGCCUAAGAUCUUUCCCCUUUGGACUCCGAAUACGCAUUUGUCUGGGUUUAGCUUUAAGUUGGCUGACCUCAGGUUAGCGAAUAUUUCUGUGAGGUCCAUGAUGUGGUCACUUCGUUUAGCGCUCUUUACGAUGAUGUCGUCUACAUAGGCCAAGAUAUUGCGCCAAAGCUGACUGUCUAGGACUGUUGCUGUCAUUCUUGAGAACGUUUGGCCUGCAUUUUUUAGCCCCUUUGGCAUACGGACGAAGCAGAAUGUUCCGAAGGGUGUCACAAAACUUGUUUUGCCUAUAUCUUUUUUUUUAUUCUGAUCUGGUGGUACCCCGAGAAGAGGUCAAGUAGCGAGAGCAUUUCACUGUUUGCAGCGUCAUCUACCACCUUGUCAAUUCUUUCGAGAGGGUAGUCAUGUUUUAGGCAGGCCUUGUUGAGGUCUGUGAAGUCUAUGCACAUUCUCCAUUUCCCAUUUUUCUUUUUAACUGGCACUAUGUUGGCUAGCCAGUCGGGGUACUGGAUUGGCCUGAUCACAUUGGCUUCAAGUAGCCUGUCAACUUCGGCCUUUACUGCUUGGACCUUCUCGUCGGACAUUUUUCUUAGCUUCUGUUUCUUUGGCUGAGCUCCUUGUCUGAUGUCGAGGCUGUGCUCAAUGAUUUCCCUGUCCACUCCCUUUAGAUCAGUUGCAGACCAAGCGAAGAUGUCUUUGUUCUUGUUGAGGCACUCGACGAGGUCACGCUCUUCAUCUGGGUUGAGAUUCGCCCCAACUGUGACGAAUCUGUCUGCGAUGUACCCGUCUAGAAGUACCCGUUUUGUUUCACCGUCCGCACUGAUUUUUACCUUCUCUUUAUCUCUUUUAGGCUCAUCGUGGGCCUUUUGCUUUGCUAGGCUUUCGGCUUCGUUUGACGAGGCUAGAUGGUGGACGUUCUUUUGGCCCGGAGCUACCCCUUUUUCUAUGUUCCUUGCCAUUUGCUGAUCACCGUACACCGUUAUGACCCCUCUGAGGGCGGGUAUUUUCAUGCAUAGGUACAACUGUCUAAUUGUUGCGUUCAUUUUGGUGAUGAAGCCACGACCGAGUAUUGCGUUGUAGGGGUAAUGCAUCUCCACCACGUCAAAGGUGAUGUGUUCUGUCCUCGCAUUAUCACGGUCCCUGAACGAAACGGGAGGGCAAUUUUUCCCAAGGCCUUCACUGGCUUUCCGCCGAAGCCGAGGAGCGGGACGUCAGCUGGGUCGAGCGUGUUCAUGUCAAUGUUCAUUUCUCUGAAUGCAUUUGCGAAGAGAAUGUCCGCGGAGCUGCCUGUGUCUACCAGGACUUUUCCUACCGUCCAGCCGGCUAUCAGUGCUUUGAUGACCAUCGCAUCGUUAUGCGAGGUUGUCUUGAGCUUGAAAUCUUCUCCGGUGAAGGUUAUGGGCAUGUGUGCCCAUUCUGGCUUUGCUGGAGGUCCAUCGGGAAUGAUCACGUUGACUUCUCUGAAGUAGUUCCGUCUCUACCUCUUGUUUUCAAACUCUAGUGAGGAGCCCCCGGCGAUUGGCAUUAUCAUCCCGAAGGUGGGCAAGGAAUUUUGGUUGUUAUUUUGUGUAUUGGGUUCCGGCUUGGGCAUUAUGGCUGGCAUGCUUGGGGGUGGAGGUAGUGUUUCUUGGGGCUUUUGAGGCGGGUUGAGAUUGGGGUGCUGUGGGAUUGUUUGGUGGUAGGGCUGUAUGUGUGGUGGAAGAGGCCAAGUCAUCGGUUGCGGGAAGUUGGCGAAGUUGGGCUGAUUGUGAUAGAAGGCUGGGUGUGGGUAAAAAGCUGUGUGGUGGAUUAUUUUGGCUGCUUGCGCGGCUGCCUUCGCAGCUUCUUCCACAGCUUUUCUCUCUUCAUCCUUCUUUUUGGGGCACCACUCUGUGUUGUGAUGAUUCUGAUGGUCGUGGUUGACACAGUAAAAUGACUUUUGUUGUCUGCCUCGACCUCGUCCUCUGGCAGAGUGGCCCCCUCUUUGGGUGCUGUUGUUUUGGUUUUGGCUCUAGUUUUGGUUUUGGUUUCCCUCGAUGUUCAUGAUUCGGUUUUGGUUUUGGUUUGGAUUUUGAGGCUUGUUGUAAGGCGAAGGUUGCCAGCUUCGGUUUUGGUUUGUUUGUCUCUCUUUGUUGCGUUCCGCCACUCUUCUGCGAUGGUCCUCGUCGGACCUAAUGUAUUCAUCGAGUUUGCUAAAGAGGGCAGUCAUAGUUUUAGGCUCCUUCCUUGACAGUUUUGACGCUGUUGGGCCGGGGGUUAGGCCCGCGAUGCAAGCGGAUAUUGCUACAGAUUCCUCAAUGUGCGGUGCUUGAGAACGAAGUUGGACGUAUCUUCUUACAUACUCUGCAAGUGGUUCCUUGUCCUUUUGCUUGCACUGAAAAAGGUCUGCCUAGGCCGUGUGAGGGUGGUGGAAACCCUGGAAAUUUUGAGUGACCUUCGUCUUGAGAUCGUGCCAGCUGAUUACCGUGUGUGGAGAGAGCAGUGAAUACCAGUUCAGCGCCGCGCCCUCGCAAGCAAUUAUGAAAGAUUUGGCGAGGACGACAUCAUCCCCUAUGGCCGAAGCUACAGCGGCUUCGUAACUCAUUAAGAAUUGCCGUGGGUAUGUGCGCCCGUUGAAUUUGGGCAAGGUGGUUGGUUUGUAAGUUGUUGGCCACGGUGCAGUUUGUAGCCCUAUUGAGAGCGGCGAUGUUGUGUCGACCACAAAGGACACCCCCGGCGAGUGGUGCUGGGUGCCUUGGCCAAAGUUGAGGCUCGGCUGGAGUUGUGCCUGAUCGACAGUGGGACUUUGAUAAAGAUAAGUUGCGGCCUGGUUUGCAUUCUUGAGUGGGCUUUCGAGCUCCGCGACUUCUUUCUGUAGUGCUUCUAGUUGCCGCCUGGCUUCGUUCAACUUUGAUAGCCUGGCCGCAGCCUCUUUCUGGUGUUGCACUUGUUGUGCCAACUGCUCCUUUUUUCUUUUGACCUCUUCUAUCUCUCGGAGGACUGAAUCCAGUUCGUUGUCCAGGAUGGAGGGGCCAGUAGCUUCGGGUGUUGUGGGCUGGUGGCCGUCAAUGCGGUUGGCAGCUUCGUUUGCCAUGGGUUGGUGGCUUUGGUGGUUGACUUCGUCUGCGGGCUAGUUGCUCAUUGCCUUAGCCCUCGGGGCUUGUUCGACUCUUGCAAGACGUUCCUCCUUGUCGGGGAGGACUUGUCGGGGAGGACUUGAUGUGUGGCUUCGGGGACCAUGAGCUGGUUGGCCUCUUCUGUGUUGUCUUCCCUCUGAGCUGCGGGUCUCUUUUUACGUUGUGGUGGCAUCGUGGGCUGUUUAACAAGUUAGACCGUGGUGGGCACCAAAUGUUGGGGUCCUCCCAUACAAUAGUAAGAGUAUUAUGACGAACGAAGAUAACGGUCGUUCAAACAAACGUUACAGUGGCUGUCCUAUCGAUGAUUAAUGCCCUCCCGGGAGGACAAUUCGUCUCCCUUUAUAGAGUCAUAAAGUUACAUUUUCGCAUCCCCGUUAUACCCAUACUCAACCACUACAUCCUAAGAAUAUUCCGUACAAGACAGUAACUUGGUACCUAUUCAAAACGUCGCUUUCACGGUAAAAUUACAUAUCCAACCUCGUACUAGAUUCUUAUUACGGAGUCGUCUUGCUAUUAAGCGGUUCCAGGGCCGUCUUGACUGUCUUCUUCCUUAUUCAUAAGCUUCGUUGAGACCGAGCAACCUUCUGUAGACUUCCCACCUUCUUUGGUUGAAGUCAGCUAACUUCGGCUUCUGGUCACGAAGUUUUUCCGAAGCCGAAAUGCUGAGAGCUCCACGGGGGGUUUAACUUCGCGAGUCCUUGCUUGCAGAACAACAAAAUGGACUAACUUCAGUCAUUUCUUAGCUUCGUAAAGGGGGAGGCGAUGAGGUUAGGGUCGGUUAAGAGAAAGAGAGUCCCCGCCAGCGCCGUUCAGGGUGUGUUGUGGGGGCGGUCCCCAACAAUACGAAAGCUUGUUGUUACCUGAUUCAAUCGCUGUGGAGAUUGAAGUAGCCUGCAUCUGAAAAAC
rnacentral:lncRNA from 1 species